AAAUUACUUAACAUUUCUGGAAUGCCUAACUUGAGAAGCUUUUCAUGUAACACAGAAACCAAAACAUUAUCAUAAGCAGCACUUAUAUCCAGAAAAGCGGCUACUACUGACUCAUUUUUAGAAAAAGCCAAUCGUAUAUCUGCAAUUAAUAUUGACAAACUAUCAUAGGUAGAUCUACCUUUUCGGAAUCCAAACUGACUAUGAGAUAGUAAUUGGUUCUUUUCAACAAAAAAUUCUAGUCUGUUUUUAAUUAAGUGUUCAGCUAUUUUUGCAAAUACUGAAGAAAGGGCAAUAGGGCGAUAGGAUGAAACAUCUGAUGCUGGUUUAUUGGGUUUUAAAAUAGGAAUAACUAUUUGGGAUCUCCAUGAAUCUGGGACUAUACCGGACUGAAUAACUGAAUUUACUAUGCUUAGAUAAUAAGAAAGUAUGCCAUCACUGGCAUUUACUAAAAAUGAGUAAGGCACUCCAUCUUCACCAGGAGCACUAUCUUUUAAAUUACUUAACACACCUUUUAAUUCCUCCAUUUUAAAAGGGCAAUUAAAGGUGGAAUCUAAGGAAGGAUCGUAUAAAAAUGUUGCAGGUUGGAACACAAACUCUUCAGGAACAGAUGAAGGGAAUACAUCAUCAGCUACUUCUAUGAUCACCCUGGCCAGGGCAACCGAGCAGCCGACUAUGUCAGUAUCAUCUAAACUAGGCAAAAACAACAAUUUCUUCUCUACACAGCUUUUGAAAUUUUCCCAGUCAGCAUUACAUAAAUUGUAUUUAAGCCUUGGGCUAGGUUUCGGAGUUGGACGUGUAGAUGAAGGAAAUGAGACUAUAAUUGGAAAAUGAUCACUACCAAAUGUAGAAUCAAGAGUUUGCCAGGUGAAAGAAGAUGCAAGUUCAGCAGAGCAAAUGGAUAGAUCAACAGCGCUGGGUGAUUCUGUAGGCGCUGUACGGCGAGUUGGAGAGCCAGUAUUAAGUACACAAAGAUUGUGAUCAUCUAAGAUUUUUAAAACACGAAGUCCAUUAUAGUUGGAUACUGAACUGCCCCAAAACUGAUGGUGUGAGUUGAAAUCUCCUAGAAUCAACAAGGGCCUAGGUAGAGAAGAAAUUAUAUGUUCUAAUUCAUUAAAAAUAUAAGAUGAUUGAUGAGGAAUAUAUACAGAGAGAAUGCAGAUGUUAUUUACAAUGGCAGCAACAAUUGAGAAAUCAUCGCUGUGAGAUGGAAGCUGAAGAGAUGAAAAUGAUUCAGAGUUCCUGAUGAGUAAAGCUACUCCACCCCACCCAUCAGGACGGUCCUCUCUGAGGCAUGAAUAGCCAGUAGCUCUGAGAAGAGCUCCAGGCUUGAGCCAUGUCUCAGAUAGGGCAAAAACACAUGGAUUAAAUUUAUUUAAUAAAUGAAUUAAAUCAUGUUUUUAAUUGAUUAUGCUUCUGCAAUUCCACUGUAUUAUAUUGUCCAUUAUUUUUAAUUGCAAAUGUAAGAGAGUCAAUCAUAGGGGCAACGUGGGACGGUAAAGUAAGGUUUGGCUUAGACAAUAGAGUUCUUAGGGCCUCAAUAGACUCGGCGAUUACUAGUC